ensembl:lncRNA
CUCUUGGGAGCCAUUCAGAGGGAUACAGCCUUGUCUUAUCUGGACUAUGGGAGAGAAAGGGGGUUUGUUGCUAUUAGCUGUUUCCAGAAACAUUAAAAUGUAGGGGUGUUUCACAACCAUGGCUGUUUUCCUGGAGCACAGGACUCAGGUCAAGUUCAACACUGGCCCCAGCAGCGUGGCUUCCUCUAGCAUCCCUCGGGCAAAGCCUAGCAGGGACCCAACUGGCUAAGGAGAAUGUCUUGCCAAAUCCCAGCCCCAACAUUGGGAAGCAAAGUAUGAGGCUGAGGGUGAGGAGCCUGUUAUAUAAUGAAGAAUUUGACUGGCCUUGUUCUCCAGCUCUUUGGAGGAAGAUUCUAAAUUCUUGGAAUUUCCCAAGUCCUAAGAGUAUCUUUGUUACUCAUAAGCCCCUUGGGUCACACCUGUAGUUAUGCUAUCAAGAUGAUUCAGAUGUGGACUGCUCACCAAGAAGACCAACCACAUGAUUAAUGGGUUAGGACCUUGAGACAGCCCAACUUCCAGCCUCCGGGGAGAAGUGGUGGGGCUGAAUGCUGAAUCCAACCUCGGGGCCAAUGAUUUCAUCAGCCAAGUCUACAGACGGAAACCCCAGAGAAAGCUGGACCCCAGAGAUCCAAGGACCCUUCUGGCUGUGAACACAUCAGGAGGGGAGAUGGGCUGAUUCCACAGGGGAAGCGCACAGGAGGUCUGAGUCUUGGACCCACGCAGACCUAUUUGGCUGGUCCUGAUCUGUAUCCUCUAUAGUAGAAGGAGUGUUAGUUGCUCUGUCGUGUCUGACUCUUUGUGACCCCAUGGACUGUAGCCCUCUAGGCUCCUCUGUCCAUGGAAUUCUCCAGGGAAGAAUACUGGAGUGGAUAGCCAUUCCCUUCUCUAUGGGAUCUUCCUGACCUAGGGACUGAACCUGGGUCUCCUGUGCUGCAGGCAGAUUCUUUACCAUCUGAGCCACCAGGAAAGCCCGUAUCCUCUAUAAUAAAACUGCAAUUUUAAGUAUAGCGCUUUCCUGA